UUGGACCUCAGAUCAGGCAAGAUCACCCGCUGAGUUUAAGCAUAUCACUAAGCGGAGGAAAAGAAACUAACAAGGAUUUCCUUAGUAACGGCGAGCGAACCGGAAGUAGCCCAGCUUGA
rnacentral:rRNA from 1 species